UGGGGAAUAUUGCACAAUGGGCGAAAGCCUGAUGCAGCAACGCCGCGUGAGGGAAGACGGUUUUCGGAUUGUAAACCUCUGUUUUCGGUGACGAACAAAUGACGGUAACCGAGUAGGAAGCCACGGCUAACUACGUGCCAGCAGCCGCGGUAAUACGUAGGUGGCAAGCGUUAUCCGGAUUUACUGGGUGUAAAGGGCGUGUAGGCGGGACGGCAAGUCAGAUGUGAAAACUAUGGGCUCAACUCAUAGCCUGCAUUUGAAACUACUGUUCUUGAGGGUCGGAGAGGUAACUGGAAUUCCUAGUGUAGCGGUGAAAUGCGUAGAUAUUAGGAGGAACACCAGUGGCGAAGGCGGGUUACUGGACGAUACCUGACGCUGAGACACGAAAGUGUGGGGAGCAAACAGGAUUAGAUACCCUGGUAGU
rnacentral:rRNA from 1 species